rnacentral:rRNA from 1 species
GGAUUGGAGUCUGCAACUCGACUCCAUGAAGCUGGAUUCGCUAGUAAUCGCGGAUCAGCAUGCCGCGGUGAAUACGUUCCCGGGCCUUGUACACACCGCCCGUCACACCAUGAGAGCCGGGAACACCCGAAGUCCGUAGUCUAACCGCAAGGAGGACGCGGCCGAAGGUGGGUUUGGUAAUUGGGGUGAAGUCGUAACAAGGUAUC